AUGUGUGACUUCAAUUGGUAUGAGGCCAAUUGAAGAUGAAAGUAGACAUAUAAUAUCAUAAUUUUCAUAUAGAAACCCUGCCCAGAAAAUGACUUUAAGUUAGUAAACAAUUAGGUCAAACACGAAAUUAGCACACUGCCACUAUGUAGAAAUAACUAAAUAAACAGUGUUUGUUCAUUUAGCCAUAACAUAGUGUAAAAAGGUCCAAAUGAUCUAAAUUUUAUACCGAGAGAAAGCUGAGACGUAGCACUAUAACUUUUAUGAAAAACACAAACCCAAAUUCUGACUAUAACCCAUCUGA
rnacentral:misc_RNA from 1 species